GACAGAGGGUGCAAACGUUGUUCGGAAUUACUGGGCGUAAAGCGCGUGUAGGCGGCAGGGCAUGUCGGAUGUGAAAUCCCGUGGCUCAACCACGGAAGUGCACCCGAAACUGCCCAGCUUGAGUCUCGGAGAGGAAGGCGGAAUGCUUGGUGUAGAGGUGAAAUUCGUAGAUAUCAAGCGGAACACCGGUGGCGAAGGCGGGAUCCUGGGCCAGUACUGACGCUGAGGAGCGAAAGCGUGGGGAGCAAACAGG
rnacentral:rRNA from 1 species